UGGCAACAUCACGUUGAAACAUCGCUUCCCGGACGAUCACCGAAGGUAAGCAACGAUGAGCCUGGUCAGUACCUUGAUGGUUGACCGCUUGGGAAUACCAAAU